rnacentral:rRNA from 1 species
UCAAAGAUUAAGCCAUGCAUGUCUAAGUAUAAGCAAUUUAUACAGUGAAACUGCGAAUGGCUCAUUAAAUCAGUUAUCGUUUAUUUGAUAGUACCUUACUACUUGGAUAACCGUGGUAAUUCUAGAGCUAAUACAUGCUUAAAAUCCCGACUGUUUGGAAGGGAUGUAUUUAUUAGAUAAAAAAUCAAUGUCUUCGGACUCUUUGAUGAUUCAUAAUAACUUUUCGAAUCGCAUGGCCUUGUGCUGGCGAUGGUUCAUUCAAAUUUCUGCCCUAUCAACUUUCGAUGGUAGGAUAGUGGCCUACCAUGGUUUCAACGGGUAACGGGGAAUAAGGGUUCGAUUCCGGAGAGGGAGCCUGAGAAACGGCUACCACAUCCAAGGAAGGCAGCAGGCGCGCAAAUUACCCAAUCCCGACACGGGGAGGUAGUGACAAUAAAUAACGAUACAGGGCCCUUUCGGGUCUUGUAAUUGGAAUGAGUACAAUGUAAAUACCUUAACGAGGAACAAUUGGAGGGCAAGUCUGG